rnacentral:rRNA from 1 species
GACGAACGCUGGCGGCGUGCUUAACACAUGCAAGUCGAACGGAAAGGCCCUGCUUGCAGGGUGCUCGAGUGGCGAACGGGUGAGUAACACGUGGGUGAUCUGCCCCUUAUUUUGGGAUAAGCCUGGGAAACUGGGUCUAAUACUGGAUAGGACCAUGCUGUAGGCGGUGUGGUGGAAAGAUUAGUUUCGGUAAGGGAUGAGCUCGCGGCCUAUCAGCUUGUUGGUGGGGUAAUGGCCUACCAAGGCGUCGACGGGUAGCCGGCCUGAGAGGGUGGACGGCCACAUUGGGACUGAGAUACGGCCCAGACUCCUACGGGAGGCAGCAGUGGGGAAUAUUGCACAAUGGGCGCAAGCCUGAUGCAGCGACGCCGCGUGGGGGAUGACGGCCUUCGGGUUGUAAACUCCUUUCAGCCAUGACGAAGCCCUUGUGGUGACGGUAGUGGUAGAAGAAGCACCGGCUAACUACGUG